rnacentral:rRNA from 1 species
GACGAACGCUGGCGGCGUGCUUAACACAUGCAAGUCGAACGGAAAGGCCCAGCUUUUGUGGGGUGCUCGAGUGGCGAACGGGUGAGUAACACGUGAGUAACCUGCCCUUGACUUUGGGAUAACUUCAGGAAACUGGGGCUAAUACCGGAUAGGAGCUCCUGCUGCAUGGUGGGGGUUGGAAAGUUUCGGCGGUUGGGGAUGGACUCGCGGCUUAUCAGCUUGUUGGUGGGGUAGUGGCUUACCAAGGCUUUGACGGGUAGCCGGCCUGAGAGGGUGACCAGCCACAUUGGGACUGAGAUACGGCCCAGACUCCUACGGGAGGCAGCAGUGGGGAAUAUUGCACAAUGGGCGGAAGCCUGAUGCAGCAACGCCGCGUGCGGGAUGACGGCCUUCGGGUUGUAAACCGCUUUCGCCUGUGACGAAGCGUGAGUGACGGUAAUGGGUAAAGAAGCACCGGCUAACUACGUG